GCCCCUGUAGCCCAACCGGCAGAGGCGCGAUUCUCAAAAGAUCGACAGUGUGGGUUCGAAUCCCACCGGGGGCACCA
rnacentral:tRNA from 2 species